UACGAAGGGGGCUAGCGUUGCUCGGAAUCACUGGGCGUAAAGCGCACGUAGGCGGCUUCUUAAGUCAGGGGUGAAAUCCUGGAGCUCAACUCCAGAACUGCCUUUGAUACUGGGGAGCUCGAGUCCGGGAGAGGUGAGUGGAACUGCGAGUGUAGAGGUGAAAUUCGUAGAUAUUCGCAAGAACACCAGUGGCGAAGGCGGCUAUCUGGACGGUUUCUGACACUAAGACUCGAAAGCGUGGGGAGCAAACAGG
rnacentral:rRNA from 1 species